AUUGAACGCUGGCGGAAUGCUUUACACAUGCAAGUCGAACGGCAGCACGAGGGCAACCUUGGUGGCGAGUGGCGAACGGGUGAGUAAUACAUCGGAACGUGCCCAGUCGUGGGGGAUAACGUAGUGAAAGCUACGCUAAUACCGCAUACGAUCUAUGGAUGAAAGCGGGGGACCGUAAGGCCUCGCGCGAUUGGAGCGGCCGAUGGCAGAUUAGGUAGUUGGUGGGGUAAAGGCUCACCAAGCCUGCGAUCUGUAGCUGGUCUGAGAGGACGACCAGCCACACUGGAACUGAGACACGGUCCAGACUCCUACGGGAGGCAGCAGUGGGGAAUUUUGGACAAUGGGCGCAAGCCUGAUCCAGCCAUUCCGCGUGCAGGAUGAAGGCCUC
rnacentral:rRNA from 1 species